UCUAACAGUCUGUUAACCCUCCUCUUCAGUUCAAGAUUGUGAUGAUUUGUAGUACUGAAUUGGAGGCUUUAAUCCCCUGCAAUUUAUGUGGUACAAGUAAGGGUGUUGUGUGAUAAUGCGAAAGAGAUUCUAAUGAAGGAAAGAAAUGUUCAGGUUUGCUAUUUUGAUCACUUUGACUUAAAAUUAUCAGCAAUUCCAUUCUAUGACCAUUUGAGAUAGCAUCUUGUUUGGGUCCGCCUAACAUUCCUUCUAUUAGACUGGCAAUUAUAUUUUUGUACUGACAAUCCAGUAUAUUUUUGUACUGGAUAAAUCCUUCUAUUAGCCUGGCAAUUAUAAUUACUGGGAUGGUACUGGUAUAUUUUUCUUCCUUUCAAAAUUCAUAUGUUGUUAGUAUCUAAUAAUGGAUAAAUCUGACCUUCUGCUAUUUAUUUUGUAGGAUAGUUCUGACAUCAUUGCCAUAGUGCUGGUUUACUGCAUGGCUAAUAACAACAUUAUUCGUUUCCAUCCCACAAGAAGGAAUAUCAAUGGUCUUCUACGAAGGUAGAGUUUACCACAUUUUGUACACAAAAAUUGGCACUGAUUACAAUAAGCCUAUACUAGAUUGGCUUGAGAAUUCCAAUGAUGAGGUAUCAGAGAAGUGUGAUGCCAUAACAUCUGGUGUUCUGAAAGAAGCGGCAAAAGAACUUGCUAGCCGUUUGAGUAUUUCUAACGUGCUUGAAUUUUAAUCUAAAAAAUGCAAAUCAGAGACAAGGCUGCUACUAUGAGGGAUAAGUGAGUCAUUCAUAUCUUACUUACUCACACAACAUGGUAUUCUUUGCAGAAAUCUCAUCUUUGCAUGGAUCAUAUGUGUAUCUAAUUUGGAUCGUCACUUAGAAGUUUUAGACAUCUCUGUGUUCGUCCGAGCCUCUUAAUCUAUUAUGUUCAUUGUGCCAUGCACUUGGAGUUCUUAUGGGCAGACUUGUGAAAGCUGCAGAUUCAGUUUCGGUAUGUUACAAUUUUCAGAGCACUAUGCUUAGCUACACUGCUCAGUACUUACAUAUGAAUGGAAUACAAACACAUGUAUGGUGAUGCUUCUAUUUCUCUUUGAAACUGAAACUUCAGAUGUGCCUAUCUAAAGGUUUAGGUGUCCCUAUUGGAUUCAAAGGCUCUUGUUGACAAGGUCUAUCCAUGUGUGUUUCUAAGUCUAAAUUGUAGUGUUGUAUUACUGCAAAAUGAAAAGAACUGUAUAUUAUAAUGGAAAUAUGACCAAUACCUUCAGACCAAAAAAUCUUCGAAAGAUCCUAGGUGGUGGAAUGAGGCAGGUUGGAUUUCUGUGUGCUGGUGCUCAUACAAUAUGGGAAAGCUUGCUGGUGAGGAUAGAAAGGCUAAAGUUGUGGCAGGUUUAUUUUUUCCCUCUUUUCUAAAAAAUUUAGAAUUGGUUGUAUGUUAUUUAAGGCAAAAUGUUUUUCUAUUGUCUAAAAAAUGAUUAAUUUUUUCCCAGAAUAUUUAUUUCCUAGCUUUUUAUCCUACUUAAAACAAAUCGAAACUGUCAUUGGCUUGAAGUCCUGAACUUGUCACUCUUGUCCAUUUUCCUAGAAGGGCCAAAUAGAAUUGAACAGUUCACAGUGGAUUCAACUUUAGUCGUGCCCAAUAUGGUUAGCCUCCUACAUUUAUUUUCUCAUUGUCUACUAUAUGUGUAACUAUAAAUGUCCCAUUUGUAACAUACCUAUACUUUCUAAGUCAUUCUUGGAUAUUGUGGAUUCACACAUAUCAUAUGACAAGCUGUGCCAAGUCUUGGGAACACACAAUGUGCUUGCAAGGAGUUCAAAAACAUGAAGCUCCUUUGAUGUUCAAUAAGAUUUAGCAUGUUAAGUAAUUUUCUAAUAACAUUUAGCAUGUUGAAAAAGGUGAAGUUCCACACAGUAGUUUAGGAUUUAGCGUCUACAUUAUUUUUAAAAUGUGAUUUGACAUUUUCAAUAUCCUUGUUGAUGCUACCUUAUUAUCAUUCUUCUAGACUUUCUGGAGUAUUACCAUUACUAACUUAACUAAGGCUACCAAAAUUAGCAAUGCCAGUUUUUUUUGAACCUAGACAACAUCAUUAUACUAUAUCCAUUCUAGCUGUUCAUAUGACCUCCUUUACUUACGCAGUGUGAGGCUUGUCCUUCAUUGCCAAAUUUUAGAUACCGAUGUUGAAUAUGAAGUGGCACCGUUUUUUACUAUUAUUGUUCGGGCUCGUGUAACAAAGACACAAUUUUGAAGAAAUAUUCGUCAACUCUUGCCACAAUAUUGACUGGUCUAGCUUCUGCUGUAUUUUUGGGACAUUCCUUGACCAUUAAUUUUCUCCUAGGCAUAUCAGUGGUGUUUAUUUCAAUGCACCAGUUCUUCUCUCCACUUGCAAAAGUC